rnacentral:rRNA from 1 species
CUACGGGUUGCUCCAGUCGAUAAUAUUCCACAAUGGUCGAAAGACUGAUGGAGCGACGCCGCGUGCAGGAUGAAGGCCUUCGGGUUGUAAACUGCUUUUUUUAGGGACGAAUUUCGUGACGGUACCUAAAGAAUAAGAGGUUACUAACUCUGUGCCAGCAGUAGCGGUAAUACAGAGACCUCAAGCGUUAUCCGGAUUUAUUGGGCGUAAAGAGCAUGUAGGCGGAUAUAUUAGUCAGAUGUCAAAUCUUCGAGCUCAACUCGAAAACUGCAUUUGAAACGGUAUAUCUUGAGAGAGUGAGAGACUAAUGGAACAUAUGGUGUAGCAGUGAAAUGCGUUGAUAUCAUAUGGAACACCAAAGGCGAAGGCAUUUAGUUGGCACUCUUCUGACGCUGAGAUGCGAAAGCGUGGGUAGCGAAUGGGAUUAGAUACCCCAGUAGUC